rnacentral:rRNA from 1 species
CUUUCCUUGACGACGACUGGCGCACGGGUGAGUAACGCGUAUCCAACCUUCCCAUGACCACGGGAUAACCCGUUGAAAGACGGCCUAAUACCGUAUGACGUCGUUUGCCGACAUCGAAAGACGACCAAAGGUUUGGCGGUGAUGGAUGGGGAUGCGUCUGAUUAGCUUGUUGGCGGGGUAACGGCCCACCAAGGCUACGAUCAGUAGGGGUUCUGAGAGGAAGGCCCCCCACAUUGGAACUGAGACACGGUCCAAACUCCUACGGGAGGCAGCAGUA